GGGCCCUUAGCUCAGUUGGAAGAGCACCUGCUUUGCACGCAGGAGGUCGCCGGUUCGAUUCCGGCAGGGUCCA
rnacentral:tRNA from 2 species